rnacentral:rRNA from 1 species
UACGUAGGGGGCAAGCGUUGUCCGGAAUUAUUGGGCGUAAAGAGCGCGUAGGCGGUCCGAUAAGUCGGCUGUGAAAGUCAGGGGCUCAACCCUUGAAAGCCGGCCGAUACUGUCGGACUAGAGUCCGGAAGAGGAGAGUGGAAUUCCUGGUGUAGCGGUGAAAUGCGCAGAUAUCAGGAAGAACACCAAUGGCGAAGGCAGCUCUCUGGGACGGUACUGACGCUGAGACGCGAAAGCGUGGGGAGCGAACAGG